CUACGGGAGGCUGCAGUGAGGAAUAUUGCACAAUGGGGGGAACCCUGAUGCAGCAACGCCGCGUGGAGGAUGACGCAUUUCGGUGUGUAAACUCCUUUUAUAUGUCAAGAAAAUGACGGUAGCAUAUGAAUAAGCACCGGCUAACUCCGUGUCAGCAGCCGCGGUAAUACGGAGAGUGCAAGCGUUACUCGGAAUCACUGGGCGUAAAGGACGCGUAGGCGGGUUGGAAAGUCAGGUGUGAAAUCCUACAGCUUAACUGUGGAACUGCACUUGAAACUUCUAAUCUAGAGUAUGGGAGGGGGAGAUGGAAUUAGUGGUGUAGGGGUAACAUCCGUAGAUAUCACUAGGAAUACCUAAAGCGAAGGCGAUCUCCUGGAACAUUACUGACGCUAAGGCGUGAAAGCGUGGGGAGCAAACAGGAUUAGAUACCCUCGUAGUC
rnacentral:rRNA from 1 species